UACGUAGGGAGCUAGCGUUGUCCGGAAUCAUUGGGCGUAAAGCGCGCGUAGGCGGCCCGGUAAGUCCGUUGUGAAAGUCAAAGGCUUAACCUUUGAAUGCCGAUGGAUACUGCCGGGCUAGAGUCCGGAAGAGGCGAGUAGAAUUCCUGGUGUAGCGGUGGAAUGCGCAGAUAUCAGGAGGAAUACCCAUAGCGAAGGCAGCUCGCUGGGACGGUACUGACGCUGAGGCGCGAAAGCGUGGGGAGCGAACAGG
rnacentral:rRNA from 1 species